AAGCAGUCUUUAAGACCAAGAGCCUCAUUCUAGACACAGAGGGUUACAACAUAAUGAUAAAAUGUUCAAUUCACUAGACCAUUCUCCAAGUGGAAUUCCCACUUAGGGCUCUGGUCACUAGAUUGCAACCUGUGUGUUUGUCAUCAUCCUCAUCUCACCAUUGUAUUGCUAUGCCCUCCCAUAAAAACACAUUGAUCCCUAGCAAGAUUAUUGCAUUCCAGAUUUUACUGCCUUUGCUAGGCUUUUGCUUAGCAAAGGGCUGACUUUCCAUUGUUAUCAUG
rnacentral:lncRNA from 10 species